GAAGAAUCCCCCAACCACUGCUUUCUAUAGUUGGGCGAAAUAAAGCAGUCUCUCUUAACAUCUCAAUCCGAAAAAAACCUAAAGACCUGAUAACCACGCCAUGUCUCAGGUGGAUAGCAGAAAUUCAUCAGCAGCGAAGCGUGCAAGAACUGACGGUAGUCGCAGGGAGGAUGACUGGACUUGUCCAAGCUGCGGCAAUGUCAACUUUUCAUUCAGGACAACUUGUAAUAUGCGCAAUUGUACCCAACCCAGACCAGCUGAUCAUAAUUCGAAAUCUGCUGCCAAGCCCCUGCAAGCACCACAGGGUUACUCAUCAGCCCCAUAUUUAGGUUCUGGUGCACCUGCUUCAAUGUAUAUGGGUGUGCCGCAAUAUGGGCCCUCCCUCUUCAAUGGAUCCUCUAUUCCUACAUAUGACAUUCCGUUCACUGGGGGCUCAGCUUAUCAUUACAGCUAUGGCAGCCGCCUUUCUGGUGGCAGUCCAUAUAGACCGUUGCAUAUGUCAGGACCACCUCCUUACUCUGGUGGAUCUAUGAUGGGAAAUGGUGGGAUGUACGCAAUACCCCCCCUAAUGGACCGGUAUGGAUUGGGUAUGCCAAUGGGCCCUGCAGCGAUGGGGCCAAGGCCAGGAUUUUUCCCAGAUGAUAAAUCUCAGAAGAAGGGUUCAGAUGCGACGCGUGAUAAUGACUGGACAUGCCCAAAAUGUGGGAACAUCAACUUCUCUUUUAGAACUUUUUGCAACAUGAGAAAGUGCAAUACACCAAAGCCAGGAUCCCAGGCUGCCAAGUCUGACAAAAAUUCCAAACAAAAAAUGCCAGAGGGAAGCUGGAAGUGUGAAAAAUGCAACAAUAUAAACUACCCAUUCCGGACCAAGUGCAAUAGACAAAAUUGUGGGGCUGAGAAACCUUCCGAGUCAGCGAAAUCCCCUUCUCCAGAACCAGAUGAGGUUGAACAGGAUUGUUUCCUAAGCUCCCGUGGUUCCUCGAUAUCCGACGCCAACUGUUCAUGAUGAAUUCGAGGUCAGACCUGAAAAGAAAGGUUAUUCAACGUUGCUUCUGAGGAGAGGGAUAUUGGCGCUCCCAAACCCCUCACCAUCGGUCCGAACCUCAGUGACCUGACUGUUUCAUUAUCCCUCCCUGAACCACCUGUCUUUUGCUUUCCAUUCUUCGUGGUGCAGUUGUUGCCUUCUUUGCACAAAAUGAGUUUCCACCGACGGGUAGCUAUUACUUUUAACAUUAAAAUGGAAAGAGGUGAUAAAACGAUGGAGUUCACCUGAUGAAGCAUUUUGCGUGAGAGUAGGAAGCUAAUCUAAUAAAGGAGAAAUCUCAGUUAAUGCGAGAUGUUGGGGACAAGACGAAGCUCAAUUCCAUGUGUCUUCGAGGCAGAAAUUGAUGUGAUUGCCUUGUAGCUCGUCAAAAUUUGUUGUGAUUGCCUAAAAUCCAGCGAGUAACGAAGGAGAGAUGAUGAAUGGAUGACAUGUCAUCCAUGCAAAUGACGUCGUGUUUUAUCUAAAAAGGAAUUAAAGGGGCAUAUACUCGAGCCCAAGCAAGUCGAGGCUCGAGGCUCGAGGCUCAAGGCCCGAGAUCCUUUUUCUCCCCUUUAUAUUAUUGUUUUUUUAAUGAUUUACGUUGUUGAAUUUCUUGUUUUUUCUUUUGUUAUUGUAAUAUUAAUAUAAUGAAAUAUCAUUUUUGUUUAUUUUUUUUUAAA